GACGAACGCUGGCGGCGUGCUUAACACAUGCAAGUCGAACGGAAAGGCCCUGCUUUUGUGGGGUGCUCGAGUGGCGAACGGGUGAGUAACACGUGAGUAACCUGCCCUUGACUUUGGGAUAACUUCAGGAAACUGGGGCUAAUACCGGAUAGGAGCUCCUGCUGCAUGGUGGGGGUUGGAAAGUUUCGGCGGUUGGGGAUGGACUCGCGGCUUAUCAGCUUGUUGGUGGGGUAGUGGCUUACCAAGGCUUUGACGGGUAGCCGGCCUGAGAGGGUGACCGGCAAAAUGGGGACAGAUGGAGCGCCCGACCCCCGAGGGGGGAAGGGGGGGGGGAUGAGUGCACAGGGGGGGGAGCCGUGAGGCAGCAACGCCGGGGGGGGGAGGGCGGCUGUGGGUUUGAAACCGCCUUCCGCCUGGGAGGAGGGGGGAGGGGGGGAAGGGGAAAAAGAGCACCGGCCAAACACGGUC
rnacentral:rRNA from 1 species